AUGAGUUCAACCAGCAGAGCGUGGGCAGCUGCAGCAAGUGUAGCAGUUGUGGAAGCUUUGAAGGAUCAAGGGAUAUGUAGAUGGAAUCAUACUCUAAAAUCACUUCAAAAUCAUAUCAAAAACAAUGUUAGAUCGUAUUCUCAAGUAAAGAAGCUUUCAUCCUCAACUUCUUCUUCUUCUGCUAUGGUUUCCACCAAGAGACAAAAAGAGAGAGCAAAGCAAUCCGAGGAAUCUUUGAGAACAGUCAUGUACUUGAGUUGUUGGGGUCCUAAUUAA